rnacentral:rRNA from 1 species
GCAAGUCGAACGGGAAACCUUUUAUUGAAGCUUCGGCAGAUUUAGUUGGUUUCUAGUGACGGACGGGUGAGUAACGCGUGGGUAACCUGCCUUAUACAGGGGGAUAACAACCAGAACGGGUUGCUAAUACCGCAUAAGCGCACAGGACCGCAUGGUCCGGUGUGAAAAACUCCGGUGGUAUAAGAUGGACCCGCGGUUGAUUAGCUAGUUGGCAGGGUAACGGCCUACCAAGGCUACGAUCCAUAGCCGGCCUGAGAGGGUGAAC